rnacentral:rRNA from 1 species
AUUGAACGCUGGCGGCAGGCCUAACACAUGCAAGUCGAGCGAGCGGCGGACGGGUGAGUCAUGUCUGGGAAACUGCCUGAUGGAGGGGGAUAACUACUGGUAACUGUAGCUAAUACCGCGUACCAUAGGAUGAGCCCAAGUGGGAUUAGGUAGUUGGUGAGGUAAAGGCUCACCAAGCCGACGAUCUCUAGCUGGUCUGAGAGGAUGACCGGCCACACUGGGGCUGAGACACGGCCCAGACUCCUACGAGAGGCAGCAGUGGGGAAUAUUGCGCAAUGGGGGCAACCUGACGCAGCCAUGCCGCGUGAAUGAAGAAGGCCUUCGGGUGGUAGUGUUCUUUCGGUAGCGAGGCGUUAACUACAGAAGAAGCACCGGCUAAAUACGUGCCAGCAGCCGCGGUAAUUC